AGAGAGAAGCGAUACCGCGAGGAGGAGCAAAUCUGAAAAAAACAAUCUCAGUUCAGACUGCAGGCUGCAACUCGCCUGCACGAAGUCGGAAUUGCUAGUAAUCGUAGGUCAGCAUACUACGGUGAAUACGUUCCCGGGCCUUGUACACACCGCCCGUCAAACCAUGAGAGUUGGCAACACCCGAAGUCGGUAGUCUAACCGCAAGGAGGACGCCGCCGAAGGUGGGGUUGAUGAUUAGGGUUAAGUCGUAACAAGGUAAC
rnacentral:rRNA from 1 species